rnacentral:misc_RNA from 1 species
GAGAGAGAGAGAGAGAGAAAUGGGGAGAGGGAGGGAGAUAGAUGCAGGGGAGAGAAGAGAGAGAAAUGAGGUAGGGGAUGUAAGUGCUAUGUAAGACGGGAGUAUAGUUGGAUUGCAUUUGGACAGAAUGAUUAUUUAGUAGACAGAAUAGCAUAGAAAGUUAUGGACUAAUGUAAAUGUCAAAAUUCAAGGGCCAACUAACAAAUAAUAUAAAAAAUUGAGGACUUCAAAUUAAUUCACCUAAUUUUUUAGAGCAAAUGAUAUGUUUAGGCUUUGCAUUGGGAGCGAGUGGAAUCAUGGAGGGGACUAAUUUAACUUUGGCCAAUUCAUCACUAUUCACUACCAUUUCUUUUCCUUUUUAAUCAGUUCUUUAGUUGAUUAUGACUCUUGGAAAUUUAUUUAGGCCAAUCUGAAUGUAAGUUUUGUCUUCCUUAGAUACUCUUGUCUUCUUCACCCAGUAAUAGGUUCUGAUGCAUGUGUGUUGCCUUUCCCCUUGUUUUCUUCCCUAAUGUGAGAUUUAGUCUUUGUCCUACAUAGAUUUAUUGUUUCGACUUUCAUCGUGGGAGAAUGUUCACUAGUUUCUGAACUCAUAAUAAAGAACCGAGGUGGUCCGCUCUUGCCCACUGAUUGCUCUUUGAAAAAUAAAUACUGAGACCUAAUCCACAGUGAAUGCCAAAAAACUGUGUUAUACUUGAUGUUGACAAGAAAAAUGGACCACUUGGCAGAAAAUUGAUGCUUCACAUGCAUUUGUUUUUACCGUUUUCCCUUUGAACUCUUUUGAUAUUUUUUUUCUGGUCUGUCAGAUAACAAUUUCAAUGCUGCUUUUCUUCUGUGAUGUUAUAAUCAUUGCAGGAGGACCUUC